rnacentral:rRNA from 1 species
UACGUAGGGUGCAAGCGUUGUCCGGAAUCAUUGGGCGUAAAGCGCGUGUAGGCGGCUCGAUAAGUCCGGUGUGAAACCUUGGGGCUCAACCCCAAGCCUGCACUGGAUACUGCCGAGCUAGAGUUCGGUAGGGGAGACUGGAAUUCCUGGUGUAGCGGUGAAAUGCGCAGAUAUCAGGAGGAACACCGGUGGCGAAGGCGGGUCUCUGGGCCGAUACUGACGCUGAGGAGCGAAAGCGUGGGGAGUGAACAGG